AUUUCUAAUUCGCUUAAUCCAAAAGGAACGGGGAAACCAGAUUGUGAGCAAAAAGUUGUUCACUCGGGGUGAAUCCUUUUUUUAUGUCUAGCUGUAGCGGCAAGCCCUCAAUGGGUUGAAGGAGACGCUUUUGCUUUUCAUAUUAAGAGGUAGGGCUAUUCUAUGGUCCGAAUCCGACAGCUAACCUCGUAAGCGUUAUGGGAGAGGAAGA
rnacentral:sRNA from 2 species